CUCUCUCUCUCUCUCUCUCUCGGUCAUCGGUUCCUUUCCUUCUUCUCUUUUUAUAGCUAUCUUCGCUUAUCUGUCUCUCUCACUCUUUCGAUCUGUCUCCUCUUAACAAGAGAGCUUCAUUUUUUUACACCAAAUCAAGAUAGCUCGUUGUUGUGUGUGAAGAUAGACACAGAUGGCUCUAAAACUCAACCAACUAACCUUCCCUUCAGCCCACAAGCUCCCUUCCCACUGCUGCUCUCAGAGAUCCCCCAAUAGAAUCUUCAUGGCGGCCACUCUAGGCUCCACUUCCACCAAAGAGAUUGAGAAUCUAAAGCAGCCCUAUUGCCCUCCACGAGAGGCACAUGUUCAGGUGACUCACUCCAUGCCUCCACAAAAGAUGGAGAUUUUCAAAUCAUUGGAGGAUUGGGCUGAGGAUAACAUUUUGGUGCACCUAAAGCCUGUUGAGAAAUGUUGGCAACCACAAGAUUUUCUUCCAGAGCCUGAGUCAGAAGGAUUUUAUGAGCAAGUCAAGGAAUUGAGGGCAAGAUCAAGGGAACUCCCUGAUGACUAUUUUGUUGUGCUGGUUGGAGAUAUGAUCACUGAAGAAGCCCUUCCAACCUACCAGACAAUGCUUAACACCCUAGAUGGAGUUCGAGAUGAGACUGGUGCAAGCCUUACUUCUUGGGCAAUUUGGACAAGGGCAUGGACUGCAGAAGAGAAUAGGCAUGGUGACCUUCUCAACAAGUAUCUCUACCUCUCUGGAAGAGUGGAUAUGAAGCAGAUUGAGAAGACAAUUCAGUAUCUGAUUGGGUCAGGGAUGGUAAGAUCCCAUGCUCACCUAUUUAUUCAUAUUUGUUUUUUGGUGUUGCCACAAACUUUAUAUUUUCCUCUGAAAAUCAUAUGCAUGCUAGGAAGGAAGCCUACAAUUUUUAGUGAAUUUGUAGUUAUAUAGUGGAAUUUGACAUCAUUUUGAUAAACAUAAUAGCUUGCAAGACCAAUUGUAUGUGCUGCCUCAUUUACCUCUCAAAAAGGAGUUGCUUGUGUAGAUGUUCUCUGUUUGGCCUGUUAUCCAAUUAUUAGGUGCAAGCCACUAGACAAAUAGUCAAUUUGUCAGUGAAAAAUAGAAGGCACCUGGACAUGUUAUUGGGAAACUCUGAAGAGAUUUUGAGGAGAAAGCACUAUAUGUAUUUUCAUGACUGGCUUUGGUGGUCAUCUUUAUGGACUUGACCAUUAUAGUGACCACAGCAUAGCAUUGUUGUGAUAAACCAUGCUGAGGUUCAUCAUGUCUAGUGGAAGCCUGUGAUGGUCUGUUAACACCAUUUCCUUAAACUCUAUAUCAUUCUGUGUGUCCAGAUUUGGCUGAUUUCCUUUUUAUAUAUGUUUAUACUUUGUAGGACCCUAAAACAGAAAACAACCCGUACCUUGGUUUCAUCUACACUUCUUUCCAAGAGAGGGCAACAUUCAUCUCCCAUGGGAACACUGCUAGACUAGCCAAGGAGCAUGGAGACAUGAAGCUGGCACAGAUAUGUGGCACCAUUGCUGCAGAUGAAAAACGCCAUGAAACUGCCUACACUAAGAUUGUAGAGAAGCUCUUUGAGGUUGACCCAGAUGGCACUGUCUUGGCUUUAGCUGACAUGAUGAGGAAAAAAAUCUCAAUGCCAGCCCACUUGAUGUAUGAUGGGCAGGAUGAUAAUCUUUUUGAACACUACUCCACUGUUGCCCAGCGGAUUGGGGUCUACACUGCCAAGGACUAUGCUGAUAUUCUGGAAUUUCUGGUGGGAAGAUGGAAAGUCGAGAAGCUGACAGGUCUUUCUGGUGAUGGACGUAGAGCACAGGAUUUUGUAUGCGGAUUGCCUGCAAGAAUUAGAAGGCUGGAGGAGAGAGCUCAGGGAAGGGUGAAGCAAGCUUCUUCUACUGUGCCAUUCAGCUGGAUUUUUGGAAGAGAACUGAAGCUUUAAGCACAGCAUGGGACUAGUGCUUCGUAAUUGCCAAACUGGUAUUCCAAUUUUAGUUCCAUUUUGAUGAGAGUUAUGUGGUUGUACUUCUAUAUAUAGGCGAAGGCAUUGUAGAUAUAUAUGAUCUUGUGUUGGUUGCAUUAGAUCUCAAAAGACGUACAACUAGCCAAUGGAAUGUUAGACCCAAAAUAGGCGUAUGCAUUGCUUUGCCCUUUUUCCAAAUUACAAACCAAAAAAAUGUCUCUCUGAAAUAUAGGUGUAUGUGUAACUGUUUUGUUUUUACAUUAUCAAUAUAGAAUGAUGGUGUAACUUUAUAUUUGCAUUGCUCUAUCCAGCGAAAUAAAAGAAAGGCUUGAUAAUAAUUUGUGUGUUUGGAAUGAACUAAUAAUUUUUGGUUGUUUAGACUCCGAGUGGAUUCAGAUUCGAGACCUAUUGAAGAUGAUUCUAGUAUCAUUGGAUUUCUAAUCUUUAAUGAUUGCCAUAUUUCAAAUCUUUAUAUUGAACAACAAGGUGAUAGUGCAAGCGCAAAA
rnacentral:misc_RNA from 1 species